UGGGAUCACAGGCACUCACCACCACGCCUGGC
rnacentral:piRNA from 1 species